rnacentral:misc_RNA from 1 species
GAUGAAGAACGCAGCGAAAUGCGAUACGUAAUGUGAAUUGCAGAAUUCAGCGAAUCAUCGAAUCUUUGAACGCACAUUGCGCCCGCCAGCACUCUGGCGGGCAUGCCUGUUCGAGCGUCAUUUCAACCAUCAAGCCCCGGGCUUGCGUUGGAGCCCUGCGGCUGCCGCAGCCUCCUAAAAGCAGUGGCGGGCUCGCUAUCACACCGAGUGCAGUAGAUUACUCUUCGCUCAGGGCGUGCAGCGGGUUCCGGCCGUGAAACCCCCUACUUUUAAAGGUUGACCUCGGAUCAGGUAGGAAUACCCGCUGAACUUAAGCAUAUCAAUAAGCGGAGGA